rnacentral:rRNA from 1 species
UUGACGGGACCCGCACAAGCGGUGGAUGAUGUGGAUUAAUUCGAUGCAACGCGAAGAACCUUACUACCCUUGACAUGUCCGGAACUUGCCAGAGAUGGCUUGGUGCCCGAAAGGGAAUCGGAACACAGGUGCUGCAUGGCUGUCGUCAGCUCGUGUCGUGAGAUGUUGGGUUAAGUCCCGCAACGAGCGCAACCCUUAUCAUUAGUUGCUACGCAAGGGCACUCUAAUGAGACUGCCGGUGACAAACCGGAGGAAGGUGGGGAUGACGUCAAGUCCUCAUGGCCCUUAUGGGUAGGGCUUCACACGUCAUACAAUGGUCGGUACAGAGGGUUGCCAAGCCGCGAGGCGGAGCCAAUCCCACAAAGCCGAUCGUAGUCCGGAUUGUUCUCUGCAACUCGAGAGCAUGAAGUCGGAAUCGCUAGUAAUCGCAGGUCAGCAUACUGCGGUGAAUACGUUCCCGGGUCUU